AGCGGCCGUUUCCCGCCGGGCCGCCCCUCCCGCGCGCUCUCCCAUCCCGUUUUCCAGGAGGGAAGGAGCCGGGAAUUGUGAGAGCUUCCCCACCCCGAGGCAGGGCCGCUGAUGUGCUGAGGGGGGAGAGCUUUUAUCAAAGAGGACUCGGUUCAAUAGUGAACAGUUUUCCAUCAUCAACCAGCAACAAGAAAACAAGUUUCCUGAAAUAAAACUAUGUUCGACUUAGGUACAAAGAGGCAGAACAGCAUCUGUUUAACAUCAGCCAAUGCAACACUUAAGAAUAAUGAAGUCAACGUUGGAGGCCGAAAUCGUGCACUUUUUUUUUCCUUUAUGAGUAACUUCUUUGGUCAUCGUUGCUCUAACAUCUUCUUGGCUGUACAAUAAACCAGCACCUGAUUAACGUCACAGAAUCAGGCAU